GAGACUCUGCCCUUCAAUAACUCAACCAUCUUGGAAUGACCCCACUAUUUAUGCAGUUUUAAGCAGAGAAGGAGAGUCUCCAGGAACUAUACGAAUUAAUCAACUUGAGCAAUCAGCCUGUUUUACAGCCUCCUGCCUUGGAGACUACUUUUUCCAAAACUCUAUGUGGGAUGUGGUCACCUAGUUGGUUGGAACCAGCUCCUGACAGACCCCAGCAACUGACAGAUGAACCUGAGUGAACUUUCCUCAUUAUCAUGCUAAAGUCUCCAUCCCGAAAGGAACUAUAGCUUCAUUACCAGAACAUGCAACCUUUGUGCUGGCAUAAAGGCUCACUGCGUCUAAAGCAACUGGGACCCGUCCCGUACAUGUGAUGAUGCACACUCUCCUCUCUCCAUAGCGCCAUAAACUCUCUCAGGGAGACACUGCUUUGAGGAAUGCUUCCUUAC
rnacentral:lncRNA from 1 species